GGAAGUUCUCGGGUGAUGCACCCCGGAAUCGGGCUCCCACCUCUCUGGUUCUGGGUGGUCAUUGCACAUCA
rfam:Myotis lucifugus cont2.32039, whole genome shotgun sequence.